UAGAGUUUGAUCAUGGCUCAGAUUGAACGCUGGCGGCAGGCCUAACACAUGCAAGUCGAGCGGAUGAAGGGAGCUUGCUCCUGGAUUCAGCGGCGGACGGGUGAGUAAUGCCUAGGAAUCUGCCUGGUAGUGGGGGAUAACGUCCGGAAACGGGCGCUAAUACCGCAUACGUCCUGAGGGAGAAAGUGGGGGAUCUUCGGACCUCACGCUAUCAGAUGAGCCUAGGUCGGAUUAGCUAGUUGGUGGGGUAAAGGCCUACCAAGGCGACGAUCCGUAACUGGUCUGAGAGGAUGACCAGCCACACUGGGACUGAGACACGGCCCAGACUCCUACGGGAGGCAGCAGUAGGGAAUAUUGGGCAAUGGACGCAAGUCUGACCGAGCGACGCCGCGUGCGGGAUGAAGGCCUUCGGGUUGUAAACCGCUGUCGUAGGGGAGGAAAUUCUGGUGGGUACUCCCAUCAGAUUGACUGAUCCUAGGAGGAAGGACCGGCUAAUCUCGUGCCAGCAGCCGCGGUAAUAC
rnacentral:rRNA from 1 species